rnacentral:lncRNA from 1 species
UGUUUUUGGAUUAAACCAUAACUUUUCCAUAAAAGUAGCUAUGGAGAAAUGGGGCAGGAAGAGUUCAGUUCAAACCCCUAUGAAAUGCAUGUGGAGUAUUGGUAGUGGAGGUUUCAGCAGCCUUUCCCCUUUCCAUGACUGACAUUUGGGGAUGAUUUAAAUCAUUGAAGUGACAUGGUGGGACAGAUUAACAUUGCCAUGACCCUGAUCGAGCCACUUUCAGGUGAAAUGCACCAUAGGACUUGAUGAUAGAUCCUCCAUUUCAGGUGUGGUUUGGUCCUUUGUCCAACCCACCUUCUGCUCAUCCUCCAAGCCUGUUGUUUCUUCAUGUGUUUUUAUCCAGAUAGUGAGCCUGAGAGCAGGAAGUGGUGAUCUCUCUCAAAGAAGCACAUCACACAGAACCUCAAAGAAACUGCAUGUUUUUGUUGUUGGAAACGAUCUAUGGGAGAGUUAAACACAUCGCUAAACCUCUCCCAGUGGCAUCAACAGAAAUUCAAACAUGCUGAUAGUGACCAGGACAGACUUUGGUCCAGUGGAGACUCUUGCUGGAAGAAGAAAAUGUCACUCGUUCCUUCUCCCCUGCCCUCCAUAGUGUGAUGCUUCCCAUGGUGUUCUAGAGCUUCCUCAACACCUUCUGGGACAUCUCUUCAGGAGGCACUGGGGAAAAGAGGAUUUGGCCUAAACCACUUCCUGCCCAUUUAAAUCAUAUGCUGGUAAACAUUUCUGUAGCACUUUUCAUUUAUAAAACAGUAAAAACCAUAAAACCUAAAACAAUUCAUUGAAAAACCCACCAGGGCAGCUGAUAAUGACUU